UCCAGACUCCUACGGGAGGCAGCAGUGGGGGAUAUUGCACAAUGGGGGGAACCCUGAUGCAGCGACGCCGCGUGGGUGAAGGAGCGUUUCGGCGCGUAAAGCCCUCUCGGCAGGGAAGAAGGAGGACGGUACCUGACUAAGAAGCCCCGGCUAACUACGUGCGAGCAGCCGCGGUAAUACGUAGGGGGCAAGCGUUAUCCGGAUUUACUGGGUGUAAAGGGGGCGCAGACGGCAGCGCAAGCCAGGAGUGAAAGCCCGGGGCCCAACCCCGGGACUGCUCUUGGAACUGCGCGGCUGGAGUGCAGGAGGGGCAGGCGGAAUUCCUGGUGUAGCGGUGAAAUGCGUAGAUAUCAGGAGGAACACCGGUGGCGAAGGCGGCCUGCUGGACUGCGACUGACGUUGAGGCCCGAAAGCGUGGGGAGCAAACAGGAUUAGAUACCCGAGUA
rnacentral:rRNA from 1 species